CGUGACUCCUAGCUCCGCCUUCAGCUUCCGCAGCUACUGUGGUGUCUUCACUACUUAAAGGCUUCAUUUUGAGAUGAUAGCGCACAUGCUAGAUCUGUCGUGAUUUGUAUUUCAACAGCCAUUAUUAGUCGCACUCCAUCGAUACAUAACUCUCAGUCUAUUAUUGCCGGUAAAACAGUUAUCAACUAGCUGACAGAUAUUUAAAAAACACACACACACAAUGAGAAGGUCCAGGUGCUGUUUGGUUAUAGUCUGCGCACUGACAAUCAGUUUGUUGGUAGCUAGGUCGUCUGCAGAAGGAAAGGAGGAACGAAAGCUUUCAGAUGAACAGCGUGUAGCAAUUGGUUCAAUAAUGUCGGGUCAACGCAGCCGUCCGUGGCGCUACGGUCGCCGAUCAUGGAAUCCGAGGACCGAUCAGGAAUAUUCACUGUACAACGCCAAAGUCGCCGAUUUGCUACGUCAACGAGCGGCCGAACAGAAUGAGUAUGAAAACUAUAUAAAAUCGCUGGUAUCAAAUAACAUACCGCUUAAACCAAUGGCGUGGGAGGAAGAAUAACAAAAAAAAAAAAAAGCUGCAUGAUAGUACAAUAUAAACAAUAAGUCUAAUUUCAAUGUAUCUUAAUUUUCUCUUAUUUCAUUUAAACUAUGUGAAUUUUACUGAUAACAGCAGAAAAUUUUAAAAAAAUAAUUACAUCUUGAAUGUUAUUUUUUUAUAAAUGUUAAUUUUCUUGUUUUAAAUACACUCAUGUUUUAAUAAAAAUAAUAAUAGGCCUAUGUUAGACUUAUAUAAGUCUUAUUUACAGGUUACCUAUUUUCUUUGCUAUAUCACGAAACUAAUUAAUGGUGAACACUUGAUAAAGCUGUGGCAAACGAGUUCUUGAUUUGUGGUCAUGAUUUGUGACAAAUUCACCUUUCCAGUUACAAUAUAAUGUACAUUUUAUGCGUAUCUAUUAAUUGUAUAUAUACAACUAAAUAAGUAUAUAUAUAUAUAUAUAUGUAUAUUAUAUAUAUUGCACUACUAAAUAAGUGUGUAUCUAAUAUUAUAUAUACAUAUAUAAUUUUCCACUUCUCAAUAUAUAUAUAAUUAUAAAUAUAUAUAAUGAUGUGGAGAACUCCGAGAUAAUUAUUUAUUAAACAAAUAUUUCGUCAGAAUUUUUUUUAUCACUAUAUUAAAUAUAAAUAUACUUUUGGUACUUUUGGUUGUAAGACUGUUUAUCAAACUAUGACAGAUCAAAUAAUAACAUUUGUAUAACCGACCUAUGAAAACAAAAUUUACAAAUAUUUGACAAUUGAAAUAUAUAAAUAGGCGCAUCCAUUGCUGGACAAGUGUCGAAAACGUAUAUAAUUUGCACUAUUCAUUUUAUUCUAUGUUUUUAUGUGUAUUAGCGUCCAUAAAAAUAUAUAUAUAAAUAAAUUUUCAUUAUGAAUAAUAUAGAUAUAUGUGUGUAUAUAAUUAUAAUGAGAAGUGAUGAAUGUAAUUUCAGUUUUUCUUAAGAAAUUACAUCAAUCGAAGUCUAGAGAUGAGCAAUGCAUCGUUGAACAACUACUUAUCUGUAUUGGUUCAGGCGAAUAAAGCGUUAAUUCUAACGG